rnacentral:rRNA from 1 species
AUUGAACGCUGGCGGCAUGCCUUACACAUGCAAGUCGAACGGUAACAGGUCUUCGGAUGCUGACGAGUGGCGAACGGGUGAGUAAUACAUCGGAACGUGCCCAGACGUGGGGGAUAACGAGGCGAAAGCUUUGCUAAUACCGCAUACGAUCUAAGGAUGAAAGCCGGGGACCGCAAGGCCUUGUGCGUUUGGAGCGGCCGAUGGCAGAUUAGGUAGUUGGUGGGAUAAAAGCUUACCAAGCCGACGAUCUGUAGCUGGGCUGAGAGGACGACCAGCCACACUGGGACUGAGACACGGCCCAGACUCCUACGGGAGGCAGCAGUGGGGAAUUUUGGACAAUGGGCGAAAGCCUGAUCCAGCAAUGCCGCGUGCAGGAUGAAGGCCUUCGGGUUGUAAACUGCUUUUGUACGGAACGAAAAGGCUCUGGCUAAUACCUGGGGCACAUGACGGUACCGUAAGAAUAAGCACCGGCUAACUACGUG